UACGAAGGGGGCUAGCGUUGUUCGGAUUUACUGGGCGUAAAGCGCACGUAGGCGGAUCGUUAAGUCGGGGGUGAAAUCCUGGAGCUCAACUCCAGAACUGCCUUCGAUACUGGCGAUCUUGAGUCCGGAAGAGGUGAGUGGAACUCCUAGUGUAGAGGUGGAAUUCGUAGAUAUUAGGAAGAACACCGGUGGCGAAGGCGGCCUUCUGGACAGUGACUGACGCUGAGACGCGAAAGCGUGGGGAGCAAACAGGG
rnacentral:rRNA from 1 species